rnacentral:rRNA from 1 species
AUGGGCAAGCCGAGCGGCAGCGGCAGCAAAUCCAACUCUGAUUUCAGGCGAGCUAUCUCUGCAGUGCGCACUAAAAACCGAGAUCAAAUAUCCGGCCAAAAACGUUCAGGUGGAUCUCGCUCAAAGAAAAGGAGUUCCAUAAAGAGGAAAGCAUGGAAAGACAAACUGUACUCCAGGUGUGCUCCUUCUAUCAUUGUAGAUCUCAUGGAAGACCUUGACGAGCAGCCCAGAAAGCUUGUAGAAGAGAUGGGGUUUCAGGGAUUACAUAGCCUAAAGCUGCACAAGCUAAAUAAACCAGUAGGAGCCUCGCUGCUUAGUAAAUUCGAUACAAAUUUGUUAGUUUUUUUUGCUGGGACAAGCAGAGAGCUAAAGAUGACACCCGAGGACGUAAAUCGUGUGAGCGGAAUCCCAUGUUCUGGCAUGAUCAUAGUACCUCCAAGCCCACAAGAUGUCAUUUCUAUGAAAGCAUACUUUUGUGGUGUUUUCGAAAAAUCCUCAUGGGAUGAAAUCACUAUCAGUUUCCUUUUGAAAAUAGUAACAACAAAACCAAAAGGCGAAAUGACAAGUGAAGAAAUCCUGCGAUUCAAGACCGCGUUUGCAUUUUCUGUUGUCACCAAAUUCUUCGCUCCACAAUCCCUGAACAACUUCAUAUCAACACGAUAUAUGAGAGCAGUGUUUGAUAUGGAGAACAUUCAUGCCUACAACUGGGCACAAUUUGUCGCCGACGAGCUCAGACUAGCAGCAGCAUCUCUGCAGUUGAAGCUUUCCCGUGGAAAGAACAUUGGAUACAUCAAUGGAUGCAUGUUAAUCCCUCAGAUUCACUACCUGGUCAGCUUGGACUUUGGCAAGGAUUCUCCUCCCGACCACAUUCUUCCCCGGCUUGCUGCAUACAACGACGCCAUGGUCUGUAACCUGAUCAAACGGGAUAUAAUUCUGAAAAAUCGACUGCCUUUUCCGACAUAUGUACCCGCGGCAUUUCCUCAAACACCUCCUGGGACCCCCUCCACACACAGACCCCAAAUCCUUCCCUCACCCAAACCCCCUGCUCACACACAUACACACCACCCCUCCCUCGCUCCAAACCUAGCUAAGGUCAUCGCCGCCGCGCCGCCUCCAUCGUCAACCUCUACCGUAUUCUGGCAUGUCGCGGACACCGGCUACGACAUCGAGGUCGUCGACACCGACGCCUUGACGCGGGUUAUGUCACAGGUUAAGUUGCCCACCCGCAACCCUUCGGGUUCGACAGCCGUUGGUCUAAUCGAUGGCCCUGCCGCUGAUCUCUUGCGGCUCAUUAUGAACAAUUUGCCAUCCUUCAUCGCCAUGGAGCCCCUUUUGUCAUUUCUGAAGGACACGUUCUGCGACGCUGGCUUGGGAUCCUCAACUAGCAAGUCAGACCUCAUCGACGGCGACCACGAGGAGGAGCCAAUCUAUGACAAGUGA